AAUGGUUGUGGUGGUGAUGAUGCUGGUUGGGGUGGUGAUGAUCAUGGUGUUGAUGAUGCUGGUUGUGGUGGUGAUGAUCAUGGUGUUGAUUAUGAUGGCAGUUAUAUUGAUGAUGGUGGUAUUCAGAGGAGGUUGGUCACCAGGAACAUGGUGCAUCAUGGUACAAAAUCGUCCAAUCGAAAAAGGGCUUUCAAAAUCACUGUGCCAUGACAUUUAUUCGUGAACUUAGUCUAACAAUCAUACAAAGAGGGAAUUUCAGAACAAUUUUAAGCUAAAAAUAUUCCUUGGCAUGGGCGGAACAUAAUAGUUAUGUUAUAAAGAAGGAUCUUAUUCAAGAAAAAUGGAGAGGACAACGAAGAGAACUCAUAUCGCACAAGGCGAUAACUCCAGGGAAAGCACCAUCUAAAACUCGUUUCAGUCGUCCGACAUCUUCUAGAAAGUCUCUUUUUAAUACAUC